rnacentral:rRNA from 1 species
GACGAACGCUGGCGGCGUGCUUAACACAUGCAAGUCGAACGGAAAGGCCCUGCUUUUGUGGGGUGCUCGAGUGGCGAACGGGUGAGUAACACGUGAGUAACCUGCCCUUGACUUUGGGAUAACUUCAGGAAACUGGGGCUAAUACCGGAUAGGAGCUCCUGCUGCAUGGUGGGGGUUGGAAAGUUUCGGCGGUUGGGGAUGGACUCGCGGCUUAUCAGCUUGUUGGUGGGGUAGUGGCUUACCAAGGCUUUGACGGGUAGCCGGCCUGAGAGGGUGACCGGCCACAUUGGGACUGAGAUACGGCCCAGACUCCUACGGGAGGCAGCGGUGGGGAAUAUUGCACAAUGGGCGGAAGCCUGAUGCAGCAACGCCGCGUGCGGGAUGACGGCCUUCGGGUUGUAAACCGCUUUCGCCUGUGACGAAGCGUGAGUGACGGGAAUGGGUAAAGAAGCACCGGCUAACUACG